UUUUUUUUUGUAACCACGACGAGUGGUCCGGUCCUGGCGUAAAAAUUGAAACGGAAAGAAAUACGGUGGUUACAUGCUGCAAUUUUGGUCCAUCCUGAAUCACGCCACUCGUCUCUGAACUCUUGAAGAGAGGCCAAUGCAGCCCAGAGUCUACAGUUGCGGCCGCCCGAGCACGCAGCUGCAACCAACCAAUCAGAAUCGAGGAACACCCACGCCACGGAUCGCUGCCCACGAUCCGCGUGCCACACCCAAAACCAAAUCCUCACCAUCCACGCCUCGCAGAUCCAACGCUCGAAACUCCCCUCCCCUCCCGAAACACAGAGCGCGGAAAAUUCCCCAGACUCGCGCUCACCCGCCGUCUCCCUCCUUAAAACGGGCCCCGAAUCCCUCCUUGUUCCUCAUUCCACUCCCAAAUCUCCCCAGCAACCCUCUCUCCGCGCCCACGAAGCAAGCUCCACACUCCCGAUGGCCCGCACGAAGCAGACGGCGAGGAAGUCCACCGGCGGCAAGGCGCCGCGCAAGCAGCUGGCGACCAAGGCGGCGCGCAAGUCCGCCCCGGCCACCGGCGGCGUGAAGAAGCCCCACCGCUUCCGCCCCGGCACCGUCGCGCUCCGGGAGAUCCGCAAGUACCAGAAGAGCACCGAGCUGCUCAUCCGCAAGCUGCCGUUCCAGCGCCUGGUGCGGGAGAUCGCGCAGGACUUCAAGACCGACCUCCGCUUCCAGAGCUCCGCCGUCUCCGCGCUGCAGGAGGCCGCCGAGGCCUACCUCGUCGGGCUCUUCGAGGACACCAACCUCUGCGCCAUCCACGCCAAGCGCGUCACCAUCAUGCCCAAGGACAUCCAGCUCGCCCGCCGCAUCCGUGGCGAGAGGGCCUAGGCUGCUUCCUAGAAUCCUAGUGUCUGAUCUGGUCUCGAGGUGUAGAGAUGCGUUACUAGUUUCUUAUUAGCCCUUGUCUGUGGUAGUAAGGUUCCUCGACAGUUGUGUUAUGGUGUGAUGUACUGUAUGUGAUGGUACCAUCUUGUUAUCAUCAUCAAUGAGAAGUUAGCAAUCUGAUUUUAAACAUGCCUGCUUGUUCGUCUGGUUUAUCGAUGGAUUUAUCCCUCCACGUUUUGGCAGCAUUUGCUGCUGAAGGUGCCACCGAAUUUGAUAAACGAUCAUAUGCCCCAGUUCAGUGCAAUCUGAAACUGCUCACCUUGUAUAAAUCGAGUCCGUUUCUUGAUGUCCUUUGCUCUGUCAAUUCCUUUUUCUUCUUCUAAUCUUUACUCUCAAUUCUUGCCUGGGAAGGACCAUAGUGGGUUGGAUAACUAUCUCUUCUUUGGCUACAGUUGUGCUUUUGAAUGGCAAUCUCUUUGAAUAUUAAGUUUCAAAUGUUCUGUGAUCCAUUUGUUGCCGGAGGUUGUCCCAUAAACAAGUGUAGGGAUCUGUACUCUUUUUGGUGUGUAUCCAUGGAAGCUAUUAAAUUUUGGCUGUUCUGAGUGUACUAACUGGUUUUGCAGUGUCAUGUGAUGUUUUCUUUACUGACUCCUGUGUUUGUGGGUUUUGGACUCCAAAUGGAACGGGAAAUAUCUGCACUCUGUUGAAGGAUUAAUAAACUUUGUCAGUCGCCACUGUCGUUUAAAUAUAUUUUGAAUCUGAGAUAACUGUGAUCAGUGUAGUUGUGUCUUGUAAUAGGCAUUUGUUAUUAAGUUCUAGUAGCACAUAAAAAAAAUAUCAACUGUAGCAUCGUAUAUAGACUGAAUUAUUUCAAGUAAUUGUUACUCUUCUGCACCAAAUUUUGUCCAGCCUUCAGCUUGGGUUGUUUGUUGUCUCGAGUAGCUGCAUCACUUUCUCAGUGAUGCAUCAUAUUCUCAAUGUCCCAUUCACCGGGCUAUUAGUAUUAUAAAUUCUCUAGUAUCCAUCACAGCAUCACUCAAGCAUGAAGAAGUAUUAAUAAUUUUUUCAUAUGGUAGAAUGCUGUGAGGAUGAUGGCAAAUGGAGACGUUUGUAUCAGGGAGUUUGUUGACAAGAGCUCCAUACUGACCCCUAUCAGGCUCGAGGAGACUCGUCAUCAUAUUCCCUGUUAUAUGUAAUCACUAUAUAACAGUGACAGUUUCCUCCUUCAAAUUGCUCGGGUCCAGUUAGGCGAACAAAGUUUGCAGGGAACUCUAGUGCAUAACCAUUUCUUCCACUAUGUCUUACUGCAAUGUACUCAGUUUACCUACAAAGUUUAUAUAUCUCAGCUCAUACAACUGAACCAAAUAUAAAUAUAUCAGCAUUAGAUGCCCAAGAUUGAAAAAACUAAAUGAUCUAUCAAAUGCUGAGAAUUUUCUACCUAUCAAGAAAACACCAAGCUAAUUGCUAUUUACUCUGGUUUAGACUUUCAGGCAUGGUUUAGUCAAUGCGCAAUUACAUUUUGUAUUUCGACAGUUCUCCAAGUUGUGCAUGCAUGAUCCUUUUGAUUGCAGCAGAGCAUUUCAGAUCAGAACUACACUAUUUAUCUUCUGUUCUAGAGGAAAAACAGAUGAAGUAUGUUUAUGUUUCUAACUUUGACAUUCUGGAGUGCAGGUUCUUUGAGAGCCCUCUGCUCAGCAAGGUUGGGUUACUGGUUCAUUUUUUUGUCAAAGUAUGAGACAGACGCCUUUCAGAGAUUAAGCAACAUCUGUCUGCUUCACUGUCCACCUUAUGAACAAACUGGUCCGCAUUUGGUAAGUGAUCUGUCGAGUUUAUGGGGCUUUGCUUCUUGUAGUUGGCCUGCCAUGAUACUCAACAGAACACACUUUUUAGGCCUUGUUCGGUUUGGAAGGGUUUGAAGAGGUUUGAAAGGGAUUGGAGGGGAUUAAAUCCCUUGCAAAUCAAAAUCCUUCUCAAACCUCCUCAAUCCCCUUCAAUCCCCGUGGCAAGGGGAUUAACCGAACAUGGCCUUAAGGAGACGUGUAGCUGUAAAUUCCUCAUUGAUGGGAGUAAUCUUACUGCACGAAUAUAGAUACAGUAGAUAAUUUAGACCCUUCAUUCCUCUAUUUACAUCUUUAGGUAUUAUUCGAGUAAAUAGCAUAAAACUACUACAAUUCGGGUUAAGGUUCCAAAAAACUAUCGGAUUUUAAUUUUUCAUUGAUAACUACCAAGUCCGGGGUCGGCUGUUUCAAAAAACCCAAAAUGUCGAAUGUUUCACAAUUGAUCACGAUUAUGACAGGUUGGGCCCGCACCUAAACCAACCAUCUGUUUGACCGUCUGUUUGACUGUUAACUGACAUAUGGGCCCACAUGUCAUUUUCCUCUUCCUCCUCUCUUUCUUCUUCCUCUCUGUCUCUUCUCUUCUCUCCCCGGUGUCUCCCGAGCCGGCGAUCCUCCCCUCCCCUCCCGAGCCGGCGACCACACUCCCUCCCUUCCCCAGCCUCCCCAUGAUCGUGCGAGGUGCUCGCCGAAGCUUAGUGGGGGAGUUGGCGACGAGGAGGCAUACCUGUGCCGCUGCUGGAGUGCGCACCUCCGCCUCUGCAGGCGAGGAACGGCGUGGCGGCAACCGCAGGCGAGGAACAGCGUGGAUCCGGCCGCUGCGGGCAUGACUCGAGGAAGGGCAGGGCAGCGGCCGCAGGGAGGCAAGGCACGGCGGCCACAGGCGAGGCAGGGCGAGGCGGCUGCCGCAGGAGAGGAACGACACUGCGGGAGCGGCUCGCCGGCCGCAGGAGAUGCACGGCGUCAAUCCGGCCGCUGCAGGCAUGGCUCGCCGGCCGGGGGAGGCGGCGUUCGGGCAGAGCGCUCGGGAUCGAGCUCCUGGCGACGCGGCUCCUCUGGAUCGGGAGGAGGGACCUGAUUGCUUUUUUGCAAAAACAUGUAGGGACCUGAUUGAAAACUCAGAGGGACCUGAUUGCUUUUUCAGAAAACUUACAGGGACCUGAUUACUUUUUAGAAAACUUACAGGUGGGACCCACAUGUAAGUUAACGGUCAAAGUAAACGGUCAAACAAAUGGUUAUCUUACGUGUAGGCCCCAACUGUCAUAAUCUUGAUCAAUUGAUAAGGACUCGGCGUUUUGGGUUUUUUGAAACAGCCGACCCCGGACUUGGUAGUUAUCAGCGAAAAAUUAAAAUUCGGUAGUUUUUUGGAACCCUAACCCGAAUUGUAGUAGUUUUAUGCUAUUUACUCGUAUUAUUCAGACAAUACAGUAUUGCCUGCAGUCCUUUGUUUAUAUUUUAUAAGUGUUAGGCAGAUGGUCAAGUUAUAGCCUGCAAUUUUGUGUAUCUAUAAAUGUUGGAGAAAAUCGCUAGAUUGAAAUCCUCCCCGACAUCACACAACGAAUUGUUUGCAUAUAGAUCACCACGAUGAUCUAACAGCACGGCGAAGUGAGUUCUGAUCCAACCGACGAAUGUGGUGGGUGGAGCCAGAGCUUCAUGGAGUGAAAACUUGACUAUCCUCUUUCACACCAAAUUGUCAAAAUAAAGUAUGCGAGAGACCUAAUCUUAAUAGUUAUUGCUAAGGGUGUAACAAUCUCAUUUACUGAAGAUUUUGGCAUAGAUGCUUCAUCCUUUCGUAUUUUUUUUACUAUGACUAAAUUGUCAGUCCCUUCCUAGGGCACCACUUUUGAAACAGUUAAAGGUUUUAUUUGUUGCAUGUCAAGUCAGAUUCAGAUUCCUAUGAAAUGUUCUCUUACCUGUUUGCUCUUGGUGACAUGCUAUGUGAUACUCCAUCUUAAAUUUCUCAUCGAAUGUAUCGCCGUCAUCAAGACAUCUAUAUCUGCAAGCCAUGAUGGACAUUCGGAGACCUCUCUGGAAGCCGGAUAGUCCCAGUGACCUGCUCGAUGUCCAAACGAAAAAAAAUGGUACUCGGUAGAGGGCAUUGGAAUAAAAUCCGCUUUCUUGAAGGUAACACGUAUAGCACACUCCCGUGUUUAAAGGGCGCCCACGCACCCCGCCGAUGCAAAAGCCAGCAAGUGAGUUAACGGGCCUGUUUUGCUUUUCUCCCGAAGGCCCAUAAAAGAACUUUCUUCCUCGUCCGGUCGCCCCUCUCUCCCCCGCUGCCCUCUCGCCAAAACCCUAGCUAACCCCUCGUCCCGAAACCGUAGUAGCAGCGCCGAUGGGAGGGUCGCGGCGCAAGUUCAAGCGAACCCGCACCAAGGUGCGCGUGGGGUUGCCGCGCAAGAAGCCGCGCGAGUUCAAGCCGGCCUUCGACCUGCCCGAGGCGCUCGCCGCCGCCGCCGCCGCAGAGGCCGGCGGCCACGUGCCGAGCUGGGACGCGGAAGGCAGCGUCGUGAAGAACUACUCCGCUUUCGGGGUCGUGGCCAACCCCAACCUGCUCGGCGCCCACUCCCGCGGCACGCGAGGCCUCGUCCAGAGCGCCUCGCUGCAGGCGCCCGACGUCGACGCCUUGCGCGCCCCCGUCGACGAGUUCGGCCCCGUCGACACCGGCAGUGAUCUCGAGUGCGAUGGUCAGUCUCCCAUCCCUUUGCCUCGACUUGGACCGGCUCACGAGCUGGUGAAUUCAUGUUUUAUGUUCAGUUUCUUCGGGACAUGUCGCUAAUUUGGUUAUACUGAUGGGAAUCUUAGGUGCCGUAUUAAUUAGUUUUGGUGAAUGUGCGAAUUUGGUGGAUCAAUUGGCAUGGCAUAAUGCGAUUUGUCAACCACAUGUGUUGAUUUAGCUCUUAUUUUCUGUUGUUCAUUUAUGUUUGGGAAUAUACAGAUGGUUUGCCUCUAGAUUUGAUUUCCUUUGUGCUGUGAAUAAUCCGUUGAGCUGCCAGAGCAAUGAAAUGAACAGUGUGUAAACACAGUCCGUCCAACACAUUUCUCAUCGAAGUUUUAGGUUCGCUGGUUUGCUUGGAGAUGUUUGUGUUCAAUCUUUCUUUUACUCUUGGUAUAUAACUUGGAGUUCUCAUCGAAGUUGUAGGUUCGCUGGUUUGUUUGGAAAUGUUUGUGAUCAAUCUUUCUUUUACUCCUGACAUAACUUGGAGUUUUGAUAAAUAUUAAUUUGUUCUCCAACAGUCUGCUUCCAAUGGGAAUGAGUUUUUUUUUGCUGAAAUAGCAGUAAAGGUCAUGGUAGUAGUUGUUUUAUGGACAAAAGAGAAGUUCACAUAUAUUAUCACUCGUGUUGUUGUAUCAAAAUUGAUACUAUGGUUAGCAUACUGUCUAUCAAAAAAAUUCAAAAGAAGCAAUUACUACUUUGUGAAGACACAAUAUAUUCAAAUAUAAUUUGAAUUGGAACUGCUUUCAACAGCUCCUAUAUUUGAGUGUCUGUUUUAACUUCUUAUUCAUAGUAUAUUCUGAGCUUUAUGCUUAAGUGUUGGUGUCAUUCGAGGAAAUUUAUAUAGAAAGAUGCAAGGUAUUACGGCAGUAAACAGUUUGCUGUGGCUGGCAAUACAAACACUGCUUCUGAAGUUCAGGAAGCAGCAGAAGCUCAGUAGCUGCAGUAGUUGGUUUCUGAUUCAACUUAGUACUGGAGUAUGUGAGGAAGAACAGAGUUGUAGUCAACAAGUUAGAAGUCUUAUGCUCCUACAGUAUAAACUAAGUGAUCUUGGAGCACAUCCUUCCGGCUCAGAAAAUAUUUAUACUUCCUAAAAAAAUCAGAAAAUUUACACAUGAAGAUGGCUGAACAAUUACAUUCUGAUUUCAGGUUCCAUGAUUGUUUUUUGAAUUCUAGCCUGUUCUAAAGCAUGCAAGUAAUUGAGAGUUUCAAAAGAUACAUUUUUGGGCACCUCAGUCUUGUAUGUUUUAUGCAGACCGCUGAUCAAUACAUUUUCUCAAGAAAGUAUGCUGAUACAUAAUUCAUUCUGAUAUCUACAUCCCAGAUUUAUUUCUGGGAUUAUUUAGUUUUGUAGGCCCAUUUUUGAAUUUCAGAUAGCACAUGUGUUCUGAUGCAAGAAAUCUUAGUCCUAGUUAGUUAACUGCAAAAGGAGGAGACACCUUUUGAGUAUUGACAAGCAAUAAUACUACUGUUUCCUCAUCUUGGGUUUCUCAUCUCAUUCUCAAUACUCAAAGCAUGCCUCAUCUUGUGCCACUGUCUUCUCAGAACAUCCCAUACACUCGGUAGCUUACUGUCGCAGAGAGUGUAACAAUUAGCAUGAUGGCAAGUUCUCCAAAAGAUUAACAUGAUUUUGAAAGAAAAACCCUUGCCCAAUGGUAACAGCAGGAUAAGUCCCAUCAAUCAAGAAACAAAAAACACUCAACUGGUGCUCCAUUUUUUAUAAAAAAUUAUGGUUCCCUUGGAUGUUCCAAAACCACAGAAUACUAAAAGUCCAAGUUCAAAAUUGUGUUUGUUUUCAAAAAUUGAAUGUGCUGUGAAAGACAAGGCCUGUCAAGUUUUUUUCCUGAUGAGAUGGUUUGUUGAUAUCCAAGCCCAAGCAAAUAUUGAUUUUAGUGUAUAUUUAAGACCAAUUGAAAUGCACUGCUUUUAGCAUGCUCUUUGAAGGCUAUGAAAUUCUAUUUCGAAUGUUCUAUUUGACAAUAAGUUUUACGUAUUUAAAAAAAGUUCUCUUUCUUUUCUGCGGCCAAUAUCAAAAGAUAUUCCUAAGAAGCUAUGAAAUGUACCUAGCAAUGUUCUGUCAUAGUAAUAGCUUUGUUAUGACAGCAAGACAUUAUGUUAUCAACUCGAUGGCUUAAUACAGUGUGUUCUUGCUUGGCAUAGCAGGACAUUUUGUUUUGCUACUCAAUGGAUAUAAUUUCUUGUGUUCUUUGUUUAGCACCUGAGGUGAAUUUCUUAGUGGCAUAGUAUAGUGAUUAAAAUGUUACUGUUAUAUUUCUUUGAGUUGUUUCAUCACAUAAAAGGGCAUAUGUUAUGGUGCAUAUAUUUGUAUUUCAAUUUACCUACAGUAUUACUUAUAUUGAAGACAGUAAGAGUGAUGUGUACUUGUGUACGAUCUCAUGGAAUCUUUUCUAUUCAAUGUAGAUCUAAAAUCUGCACUUGGGAAGAAAAGGAGGGAUGGCAAAUCUGCACCUUUGGAGCCACUGACUAAAAUUCAACGACUAUGUAUUGGCAGAUUAAUAGAGAAGUAUGGCGACAACUACAAGGUAUAACACAAUUUUCAAAUAUCUUAUUUUGUCGAGCGUAUGUUUAACAAAUAUCUAUAUAUACUAAAGAGAAGCAACGUGUUUGCAGGCCAUGUUCAUGGAUACCAAACUGAACUCAAUGCAGCACUCAGUGGGUACAUUGAAAAAGCUCUGUGAAAGAUACCAUGUUGGUGGCAAGACCAUCCUCUAUCCGAUGUAGUGUCGUAUGAAUCUAGAUUUCACUUUCAGUCUGUAUCCUAUUUCUCCCACUAAAUGGGACAUGCACUGCAAAUUUUGCCUGUGAACAAUGUAACUUCUGAUGACUACAAUAUAAGAAUGAGUUUGUUUUAUGUUGGAAGUUCCAACUCACUUUAAUUGUUCUGGCACUUCAUCAGAACCUGUCCCUUAUAUUCUUUUGUGCAAGAGUUACUGGUUAGAGAUAAUAUGAUAUACAGUACAAGAGAUGAUUGUAAUAAUGUAAUGCUGCAAUCAUAGAAGGCUGAACUUUAGCAUCAUUAAUUUACUUCCAAGAAAUUUCGGAGCAAAUCAUAUACAACUAUUUAGACCUAUAUUUUUAGAUGAAAGGCAUGAGCAACUCCUGGCUUUAUAAAUUAAUAAAGGCCCAAACCAGGCAUCAAGCCUUACAACGUAAACAACAUACAAAAAGCAAAAUACAUACGCCCUGUUCGAUACCCCUCUACUCCACAACUCCGGGAGCGGAGCUGCUGUUCAAAUCGAAGGAGUUGUGGUUUCCCCGCUCCGCAGAUUCCAGGAGCGGGUGAUUACCGAACAAGGCUAUAGAACCGAAAAUCAAUACAAGCACAGCAUGUACAGGGCUAUAGGACAGAAAAUCAAUACAAGCACAGCAACAUGCGCAAGACAAUCAUCUACAUACUGUACCAACGAAAAUGGCACAAGCUCCUGUAAUGGAAGGAGGGCGUCUGAUGUCAUGUGGGCAACAAGGGGUAUAGCGGCGGAUGGCACUAGCGCAUUCUUCUCGGGCGGAGGUGGUGAUGCCUAGAUCUGGAUUGGGUAGGUUGGACAUCGUCGCGACGGUGACCUAGGUGCCUCGUGAUGAUGCAAGUGAGUUUCCGAGUGAAAUCGCCGCACUUUGGCGCUGGCACCCGACUGUGGGCACCACUUUCCUCUUGAAGAUGUCGUUGCGGGUCUUUUCCCACUAUCAGGGCUUCGGGUGAAAAUCCAUGUCUGUCCGGACUCUGGAGCGGCACACUUUGAACCGUUACCCUCCCAAGGGUGUUGUUGCGGAGCUCAGGCGCCAUAUGUCGGGCUAUGGCGAGGUGUUCAGACUUCAGUCCGUCCUUUGCUCUUGCUCAGAAAUGUCUUUGUGCUCUUUUCUUGUGCCUUUCUGUGUCCUUUUUCUAUGUGAAUUUUGUUGCCCGGUUACUCUUUGAUCUGCUUUGUGAGAGGGCAUUCUCGUCAUCUUGUAUUGUUCGGUCGUGCACUUUAGUUGUUGCUUUAUACUCCCUCCGUCCCAUAGUAUAGGACGUUUUUUGACACUAGUAUAGUGUCAAAAAAGGUCUUACAUUAUGGGACGGAGGGAGUACUAUAUAAUACUCCCUCCGUCCCAAAAUAAAUGUCUCAAUAUUUUGGGACGGAGGGAGUAAUAUAAAGCAGGGUGACGGCCUAAUUUGAGAGCUCGCCCGCAAGAGUUGAGUGGUGAUGUUGCGGGAUUCAGCGCCGAGCUGCGUGUUGAACUUGAUCCUUUGUGAAUGUAAUGACAAUUCUAUUCCCUAAUUAAAAUUUCCCGUUUCAAGGCAAAAAGAGUCAUGACAGCCAAAGAAGAAGAGACAGUGUGAUCCAUUCCAUUUUCUUCCUUUCCACGUGUGCCUGAAUUAAGUGAGCAAGGGCAUGUGCAGCAACCUGAAGUGGUUUGAAACAACAUCAGUAAGAUCACACCGUGAGCAGGGUGGCACAUUGAACUGAGCUGGAGCAUACGAAAAUUAUGUUCAUCGGAUACAGUGGCACCAAUUUCAGCAAACAAACUGCUGAACAUUGACAUAGCCAUUCUCAAAAAAUAAAAAAUAAAAAUAAAAAAAUAAAAAAAAUUGACAUAGCCAAGGCAUCAUUGAAGCUGAAAGAGGAGCAGUUUUGAAAAACUUUUCAGCACUGAAAUCGUAAAAACAGGCAGUGAUGCUUAAGAUCAGAUUGGUAACUUCCCAUUGAUGAUGAUAACAUUAAUCAGAUACUGCAUCACAGCCCAAACGAGGAAUCUUACUACCACAGACGACAGGCUAAUAAGAAACUAGCACAUCUCUACACCAUCAGAUCAGAAAUUAGGAAGCAGGAAGCAACCUAGGCCGCCCUCCAGCAGCGCGGAGACGGCGGAGCUCUGAAUAAUGCGGUUUUCACAGCAAAGUUGCAUUAAAGAGGACAGAAACAGAUAACCUUGGAGCAAUAAGAAACCCAACAGCGGCAGUUGAGCUGAUGUUUGCUAGGUACUCCGGCUGCAUUAGAGAUAGAGAACAUUUUCCAAACAGAUAACCUUGGAGCAAUAAGAAAUGCAACGGCAGCAGUUGAGCUGAUGCUUAGGUACUCCAGUAGACAUCGCUCUUCAGCCAUACAUGAUGCAACAGCUGUUGUAUACUAGCCAUCACUAUUCACUCAUCAACCAUAUCAUAGUCAACCUACCCCAACAAACGCUUGCAGAACAAGGGGGGAAAUGGCACCACUUAAUACUUUUAGAGUUCUACUCCAUAUUACAUAAGGUUUCCUUUUUGGUUCUGAAAUGAUACGAAUAUAUGGGUUUGGAAGGACUGUUCUAUGGAAGGCUGAUUUGAAAGGCUAUUAGUUUAGUCAACACAUAAUAUCUGAUGCACCAUACUGUCAUUUAUCAAGCGGUUGUUCAGAUGUAUCUAAAAUAUAAAGACUUUCUUCUGAUGAGAAUGAGGAUUAUCAUCAAAGACGAGCUUCACAAUUGAUUAAAUAUGCCAAUUACACUACAGUUAAUAGUCAGAAAAAUUGAGCCAUAAUCUUAUUUUUACUUGUUCAGGAGAGGAAAAUGGUGCCUUCCAAAGAUUGGAUGACAUAAGCAUACAAAAUUAGCAGGCCUUGCUUUGCCAAGUUGCCAGGCGACUCAUAGCUUUGCUAAAUUACUAGUUUUAAAUAGCGGAUAGCGUGCUGGUAGCGGAUUGGGGUCCGCGUAGCGGAAUGCGGAUAGCGGGUGAUAUUGCGGGCGCUAUGUCCACAUAGCGGGUUUGUAAAAACACAACAUUGUUGUGUAUAAUUCUAGAUCCUUCAUAAAAAGUAAUUACAUUUAAUUUGAUCAAUAGCGGACGCUAUUGCGCUAGUGCUAUUGCGGACGCAAUAGCGGAUGCUAUCUCCGCUAUUUGAAACUAUGCUACUAGCACAAACUCUGCAAGCCGAAAGAUGAUCUCAGUAGAAAUGCAACAACCAAGUAGAAAUUAAUACUGAACUUCUGAUAAUUUUAACAAAUGCAAUGGUUCAGAAUAACAAGACAGUGUAGAAAAUUAAGACAGUGUAGAUAAUUUCAACAAAAAAAAUGAAUAACAAGACAUACUGUGGGGCUCUAUGUCAGGAAGCCAGACGUACACUGAAGGAGCAAAGGGCAGAUCUCAUAAACUUUCAUUGUUGCAGUACCUAGCAACAUCAGGGGGUUAAGCCUACUAAUCACGAGGUGGAACAAACUGAACACUGAAGGAGCAAAGGGCCAUUUCGUGGGGCUUUAGGCAUAAGUUUGCAGAAAAUUGGAUCAAGGGCAUGGAUAACGCUAAAAAACUGUUGGUAGAUAUUUCAAGUUUACAAACAAAUAAAGGCAUCAUGAAGCACAAAAUUAAGAUCAGAUAGCCAACUUUCACGUUGCUGAUGAUAACAAGAGGGUGACAUCAGGCAUACACUAGAACAUAACACAGCCAUGAUAGCACGAACGAGGAAUCUUCCUACCACGAUAAAAGAUCACUCCACCAAGCAACACACGCUAAGGCGAAUCUAACAUCUCUACACUUCCAGAUCAGACGCUACAAAGCAGUCUUAGGCCCUCUCGCCACGGGUGCGGCGGGCGAGCUGGAUGUCCUUGGGCAUGAUGGUGACGCGCUUGGCGUGGAUGGUGCAGAGGUUGGUGUUUUCGAAGAGCCUAACACUUAAAAUAUAAACAGAGGACUGCAGGCAAUACUAUAUUGUCUGGAUAAUACCUAAAGAUGUAAAUAGAGGAACGAAGGGUUUAAAUCAUCUACUGUAUCUAUAUUUGUGCAGUAAGAUUACUCCCAUCAAUGAGGAAUUUACAGCUACACGUGUCCUUAAAAAGUGUGUUAUGUUGAGUAUCAUGGCAAGCCAACUACAAGAAGCAAAGCCUCGUAAACUCGACAGGUCACUUAUCAAAUGCCGACCAGUUUGUUCAUAAGGGGGGGUAGUGAAGCCGUCAUGUGUUGCUUAAUCUCUGAAUGGCGUCUGUCUCACGUACUUUGACAAAAAAUUAGCCAGCAACUCAACCUUGCUGAGCAGAGGGCUCCGUGAAGAUGCUGCACUCCAGAAUGUUAAAGUUAGAAACAUUAGCGUACUUCGCCUGUUUUCCAUCUAAAAGAGAAGAUAAAUAGUGUAAUUCUGAUCUGAAAUACGCUGCUGCAACCAACAGGAUCACGGCAUGCACAACUUGGAGAACUGUCGAAAUACAAAAUGUAAUUGCGCGUUGACUAAACCAUACCUGAAAGUUUAAACCAGAGUAAAUAGCAAUUAGCUUGGUGUUUUCUUAAUAGGUAGAAAAUGUUCAGCAUCUGAUGGAUCAUUCAGUUUUUUCAAUCUUGGGCAUCUAAUGCUGAUAUAUUUUUAUUUGGUUCAGUUGUAUGAGCUGAGAUAUAUAAACUUUGUAGGUAAACUGAAUACAUUGCAGUAAGACAUAGUGGAAGAAAUGGUUAUGCACUAGAGUCUCCUACGAACUUUGUUUGCCUAACUGGACACAAGCAAUUUGAGGGAGGAAACUGUCACUAUUAUAAUAGUGAUUACAUGUAACUGGGAAUAUGGUGAUGAGUCUCCUCAAACCUGAUAGUAGUCGGUAUGGAGCUCUUGUCAACAAACUCCAUGGUGCAAACGUCUCCAUUUGCCAUCAAGUCCUCACUGCAUUCUACCAUUAUAAAAAGAUUAUUAAGACUUCUUCACGCUUGAGUGAUGUUGUGAUGGAUACUAGAGAAUUUAUAAUACUAAUGGCCUGGUGGACGGGACAUGGAGAAUAUGCAUGCAACGAGGAAGCUGAACAUCGCUGAGAAAGUGAUGCAGCUAACUAGAGACAACAAACAACCCAACUGAAGGCUGGACAAAAUUUGGUGCAGAAGAGUAACAAUUACUUGCAAUAAUUCAGUCUAUAUAUGAUGCUACAGUUGAUUAAUUUUUUUAUGUGCUACUUAAUAACAAAUGCCUAUUACAAGACACAACUACACUGAUUGCAGCUAUCUCAGAUUCAAAAUUAUAUUUAAACGGCAAUGGCGACUCACAAAGUUUAUUAAUCCUUCAACAGAGUGCAGAUAUUUCCUAUUCCAUUUGGAGUCCAAAACCCACAAACACAGGAGUCAGUAAAGAAAACAUCACAUACUGUAAAACCAGUUACACUUAGAACAGCCAGAAUUUCAGAUCUUCCACGGAUACACACCCAAAAAAAGGUACAGAUCGAUACACUUGUUUAUGGGACAACCUCCAGCAAUAAAUGGACAGAACAUUUGAAACUUAACAUUCAAAUAGAUUGGCACUCAAAAGCACAACAUUGUAGUCAAAGAAGAGACAGUUAUCCAAUGCACUAUGUUCCUUUCCACACAAAAUUUGAGAGUAUCCAUCAAAAGGGGGGAAAAGAAAUUGAGAGAGCAAGGGCAUUAUAGUACAAGGUGAGCAGGGGCAGGUCGAACUGAAUGACACCUGCUGCUGCUCACCUUGUUGUGCAUUUGCUGGCAUAUGAACCUCAUGUUCAUCAGAUCCAGUGGCACCUUUACCAGCAAAUGCUGCCAAAACAUUGAGGGAUAAUAUAUAGACAAACCAAAACGUUUACUGAGAUCAGACAAACAAGCAGGCAUGUUUAAAAUCAGAUUUGCUAACUUCCCACUAAUGAUGAUAACAAGAUGGUACCAUCACAUACAUCACACACACACCAUAACACAACCGUCAACGAGCCUUACUACCACAGACACGGGCUAAUAAGAAACUAACGCAUCUCUACACCUCGAGGCCAGAUCAGACACUAGGAUUCUAGGAAGCAGCCUAGGCCCUCUCGCCACGGAUGCGGCGGGCGAGCUGGAUGUCCUUGGGCAUGAUGGUGACGCGCUUGGCGUGGAUGGCGCAGAG
rnacentral:lncRNA from 1 species